rnacentral:lncRNA from 1 species
CGAUCAUGUCGUAUUGCCAGAAAAAGGACGGCGAGCACACUUCGUCCUCAAAGGCCUCGGUGAGCGCGGCGCGCUCCUCAUCCUCGCCGAUCACGUCGCUGCACACGACUCUGAGUCGCUCCAGUGCGGCGACAUCGCCCGACGUGAUGGCCGACUGGUAGAGCGUGACUGCCGUAUCGUAGAGGCUACGUGCACCCGUCACGACGGCGGCCGCUUCGACAUAGAAACGAUGCGCUAGACCCCAGCGGCGACCGUCGGCCGCCGCCCUGGCCCAUGAAAGGCCGUCGUCGGCCAGAGACGCAUGACGCUGUGCCACCAGCCAGUCGAGCACGUUGGCGCUGCCCGAUCCGGCGGCGGCGUGCCCCACCGAGGUCACGUUGGGCACGGCCAACGGCCAUGCACGCUCUACGACAUCGACGGCGUCGCGAGUGGCCGCCGUAUACAGUAUGGUCGUCCACAGGUCUUCUUCAUGCACGCGUGGGGUGACAGCGUCGACAAUACGGCGCCAGUUGGCAUCAUCCACAAAACUAAAUUGUAUGAUCGCGUCGAGCGCCCCACGAACAGAGGGCAGGCUCCAGUCGCAGCGGCCACCAAAGGCACUUUGGCACAACCAUUCGACCGACGCCACGUCUGGCGCCGCGAGUUUGCGACUGUGCAAUCGUACAGCACCGAGCAGCGAUGACGCCUGGGCGGGGUCCAACAGGCCGCGUUGGUCCAAGGCCGCCAACACGCCGACGCCUGUGGCAUACUUGCACGCCUUGCGAUCGAUAAAGUCGGCGUCGGCGGCGUGCCCACAGAGGAGUGCAAACACGCGCGACGCCCCCGAUUCAAUGGCGGCCGUCGCGGCGUGCGCCACCGAACAGAGCGGCCCCAUCGAGGCCAGCAUCCAUGCCACCACGUCGACGUGGUCUCCUCGCACUGCCUCGCACAGAAUCGACGUUGUCGAACAGCACACAAAGAGGCCGUGACGUCGCUGGUCGGCAUAGAGCCACUUGAGGGUGGCCAGCCUGCCCGCGCCGGCCGCCGCGCAAAAGCACUCGUGACCAAAGCGAAAGUGCUGGCGGCCCUGGGCACAUGCACGGCGCCGCGCCCACGCCAAGGCCUUGGUGUCGCCGCACGCGGCAAGUUGGCGCAGCGGUUGCGCCAGCCAGGCGCGGCGUCGGGCGGCUUCAUGGGCAAAGGCCGACGCGAGGUCGCGCGACGCCAAGAGACACGCCCCCAGCGCGCCGUCGUCGGUCCGGCGCGCGAUUUUCGCCCAUACCUCGGCGGGGAGGAGGUGUACGAGGGUCCAGCGCCGCCUGCGCCGAUACGUGAGGCAACAGGCCGGCGACCGAGAUCGUGCGCCCCUUUUGCGGGCAUAACCCCUUGGGUUGCUCGACGCGACCCCGAUGGCGGCCACCGUUGUUUGUGUCGGAUGAUUGAGGUGCCUUUUUCGUCUUGUCGCAUGGGCAGUCUUGGACGCCGACAUGGAGGCGGCGGCAAGAAGCGAGGGCGUGACGGUGGGCGUACACAAAAAAAAGGAAACCAAAUGGCAGAUGAUGUCUGAAAUGAUGUCGCCGCCGGGUGGAUGGCUCGAUGGGCGACCAGAGCACCUUUCGUGCUGGGCCAACACCGUCUCUGUCUUUUUUGGGGGCCUCUCUCAAAGGGGGUGUGUGGGAGGAGCGGGUCUUUGGCUUGCCCUGUGUGGGGGACGGCGAAAGCCGACGACGACGACGCGAAAGCACCGCAUUGGCCCGUGUAUUUUUAAAAGAAUUUGUUUAUUGAAACAUGGCCAAUC